rnacentral:lncRNA from 1 species
UGUCACAUGCAGUGGAAUCUCGCUAAACGAAAAUCGCUUAAUCGUAACUGCCGCUUAAACGGAACCAUCCUCAUGGUUGGUUGGUUUUCUGGAAUGUCUCUCC